CUUCACAGGUUAACCCGUGGCCUGAGUGAGGAAGGCAAUGUCCUUGCUAGUCACUAUUUGUGGCGACAUCUCCAAAUUGCGUGAAACCCGUCAUACAGCUUCAAGUACCACUUCAAGUGAGAAAUCUUUUGAAGGAACAGAGGUAACUCCUCUUCCCAAAGGUAAAAAGCUUGAAGACACGGUGGCAAUGCGCAGCCAAGCUCCUAAGUAUUUUAAAUAUAAGGAGAAGGUUCAGAGAGCAGACGGAGAUGGGCGGUAAUUAUCGCCGCUUAAGGUGUGCUCCAGCCUCUUUCGAAAGAUUGAG
rnacentral:ncRNA from 1 species